rnacentral:rRNA from 1 species
GGGCUGCAGUCGAGGAUAUUUAGCAAUGGGCGAAAGCCUGACUAUGUGACGCCGCGUGAGGGAUGAAGGCCUUCGGGUCGUAAACCUCUUUCAAUAGGGAAGAAACUUUCAGCUAACUACUGAAACUGACGGUACCUAGAGAAGAAGCCACGGCCAACUCUGUGCCAGCAGCCGCGGUAAUACAGAGGUGGCGAGCGUUACUCGGAUUUAUUGGGUGUAAAGGGCAGGUAGGCGGCUAUGCAAGUUGAUGGUGAAAUCCUGUGGCUUAACCACAGAACUGCCUUCAAAACUGCAUAGCUUGAGGCUAGAAGAGGAGAGCGGAAUUCCCGGUGUAAGGGUGAAAUCUGUAGAUAUCGGGAGGAACACCAGUGGCGAAGGCGGCUCUCUGGUCUAGCCCUGACGCUGAUCUGCGAAAGCUAGGGGAGCAAACAGGAUUAGAUACCCGUGUAGUC